CUCUCCGAACUCUUUCAGCUAAGCUGUGGCUAUCUGUAGCCUGACCCCUCCUGGCUCUGACAUGGAUAUAGUCCUUGAGUGGCUCUGGUGGCUUUGAAUUAUCCUUAUUCUGUUUCUGGUUUGAGUUUUCUUCUUCAUUGACCUUAGUUGAAUCCUUUUCGUCCCCAUUAAUUUCCUUUGAUUUGCUUCUUUUAGCCUUCGAUUCAUCCAUCUCUGCUACAACCUUGGAAUCAGAAGCAGAAAGAGAUGAAGAGGGAGUUUCUUUGGCUUUUCCCUUGGUAAUUGCUUUCCUUUUCCUUGAAUUGGAAUCAUUCAGGCCUUUCAUGCUCAAUUUCCCACCUGGGAUCUGCUCAGAAACAGAAGAUUCGUCUCUU
rnacentral:misc_RNA from 1 species